rnacentral:rRNA from 1 species
AAGCAGGAUGUGAANUCCCCGGGCUUAACCUGGGAACUGCGUUNUGAACUGGGUAGCUAGAGUAUNUCAGAGGGGGGUAGAAUUCCACGUGUAGCAGUGAAAUGCGUAGAGAUGUGGAGGAAUACCGAUGGCGAAGGCAGCCCCCUGGGAUAAUACUGACGUUCAUGCUNGAAAGCGUGGGUAGCAAACAGGAUUAGAUACCCUGGUAGUCCACGCCCUAAACGAUGUCGAUUAGCUGUUGGGCAACUUGAUUGCUUAGUAGCGUAGCUAACGCGUGAAAUCGACCGCCUGGGGAGUACGGUCGCAAGAUUAAAACUCAAAGGAAUUGACGGGGACCCGCACAAGCGGUGGAUGAUGUGGAUUAAUUCGAUGCAACGCGAAGAACCUUACCUGGUCUUGACAUGUACGGAACCUUCCAGAGACGGAAGGGUGCCUUCGGGAACCGUAACACAGGUGCUGCAUGGCUGUCGUCAGCUCGUGUCGUGAGAUGUUGGGUUAAGUCCCGCAACGAGCGCAACCCUUGUCAUUAGUUGCCAUCAUUUAGUUGGGCACUCUAAUGAGACUGCCGGUGACAAACCGGAGGAAGGUGGGGAUGACGUCAAGUCCUCAUGGCCCUUAUGACCAGGGCUUCACACGUCAUACAAUGGUCGGUACAGAGGGUAGCCAAGCCGCGAGGUGGAGCCAAUCCCAGAAAACCGAUCGUAGUCCGGAUUGCACUCUGCAACUCGAGUGCAUGAAGUCGGAAUCGCUAGUAAUCGCAGGUCAGCAUACUGCGGUGAAUACGUUCCCGGGUCUUGUACACACCGCCCGUCACACCAUGGGAGUGGGGGAUACCAGAAGCAGGUAGGGUAACCGCAAGGAGCCC